rnacentral:rRNA from 1 species
AAUCAACGCUGGCGGCGUGCCUCAGACAUGCAAGUCGAACGCGAAAGGUUCCUUCGGGAACCGAGUAGAGUGGCGCACGGGUGAGUAACACGUAGGUAAUUUGCCUUUGGGUGGGGAAUAACUCAGGGAAACUUGAGCUAAUACCGCAUAAUGCAGCGGCUCGACAUCGAGACAGUUGUUAAAGCGGGGAUCGCAAGACCUCGCGCCUAAAGAGAAGCCUGCGGCAGAUUAGCUAGUUGGUAAGGUAAUGGCUUACCAAGGCGACGAUCUGUAACCGGCCUGAGGAGGGCGGUCGGUCACACUGACACUGACAUACGGGUCAGACUCCUACGGGAGGCAGCAGUCGGGAAUUUUGGGCGAAUGGGCGAAAGCCUGACCCAGCAACGCCGCGUGAAGGAUAGAAUUUUCGGAAUGUAAACUUCGCAAGAACAGGAAGAAUAAGUAGAAGAU